UACGUAGGGGGCAAGCGUUAUCCGGAUUUACUGGGUGUAAAGGGAGCGUAGACGGCCAGACAAGUCUGAAGUGAAAAUCCAGCGCUUAACGCUGGAAGUGCUUUGGAAACUGCCGGGCUGGAGUGCAGGAGGGGCAGGCGGAAUUCCUAGUGUAGCGGUGAAAUGCGUAGAUAUUAGGAGGAACACCAGUGGCGAAGGCGGCCUGCUGGACUGCAACUGACGUUGGGGCUCGAAGGCGUGGGGAGCAAACAGG
rnacentral:rRNA from 1 species